rnacentral:rRNA from 1 species
UUUUAGUUUAAUAAUUAUUUUUUUUUUAAUUUUUAUUGAAAUUAUUUUAUUUAAAUAAAAUUAUUUUUUUUUGUUUUUGUAUAUUUUAUAGAUAAAAUUUUUUUUAUUAUAGUUUAUUUGUAUUGUUAAAGAAUUUUUAAAUAUUAUGAAAAUUAGAUUUUUAAAAAGUAAUAUUUAUUUUAUGUACCUUGUGUAUCAGGGUUUAUUAAAAUAAUAAUAUUUAUUAAUAUUAUUUUCGAAUUUAAAAGAUCUAAAUAUUUAUAAUUUUUAAUGUGAUAUUAUUAUUUUAAAUAUAUAUUUAGUAAUGAAAUGUUAUUCGUUUUUAAAGUUAUCUAAUUUUUUAAUAAAUAAAUUUAAUUUAUAUAUUAAUUAUAUAUAUAAUAGUAAUAAUUUAUUAUUAUUAUUAUUUAUUUAAUAUAAAUAUUUUAGGGGAUAAGCUUUAAAGUAUAUUAUUAUAAUAUAUUUUAUUGAUGAUAUACAUGUGUGUGUAUAUAUAUAUAUUAAUCUUAGAAAUAGAUAUAUUUAUAAAAAUGUUUUAAUUUAUUAUUUAUUUAUUUAAAAUUUUUUAUUUAUUUAAUUUUUUAUUAAAAUUUUUUAUUUAAUUUUUUUAUUUAAUUAAUAAUGAUAUAAUUAGUAAAUUAAAUUUUAUAAAAUUUAAUUAAAAUGUUAGGUUAAUUAAAGGAAUUCGGCAAUAAUUUAUAUUUGCUUGUUUAACAAAAACAUCGUUUUUUGAAUAUAAUUUAAAAUUUGAUCUGCUCAAUGAGUAUUUUAAAUAGCCGCAGUAUUUUGACUGUGCAAAGGUAGCAUAAUAAUUAGUUUCUUAAUUGGGGACUGGAAUGAAUGAUUUGACAAAAUAUAAACUGUCUUUUUUUAAAUUAAUUAUUGAAUUUAAUUUUUAAGUUAAAAAGCUUAAAUAUUUUUAGAGGACGAGAAGACCCUAUAGAGUUUUAUAAAAAUUUUUUUAUUAAAAAUUAAAUUUUGUUAAUAGAAUAAUUUUUAUUUUGUUGGGGUGAUAGGAAAAUUUAAUAAACUUUUUUAAAAUUUUUACAAUGAUUAUUGAUUUUAUUGAUCCUUUAUUUUUGAUUAAUAGAUUAAAUUACCUUAGGGAUAACAGCGUAAUUUUUUUUAGAGUUCUUAUCGAUUUAAGAGAUUGCGACCUCGAUGUUGGAUUAAAAUUAAAAUUUAGGUGUAGAAGCUUAAAAUUUAGGUCUGUUCGACCUUUAAUAUUUUACAUGAUCUGAGUUCAAACCGGUGUAAGCCAGGUUGGAUUCUAUCCUUAAACUAUAAAAAAAUUUUUAGUACGAAAGGAAUGAAAUUUUAAUUUAAUAAUUUUUAGUUAUGAUUAAUAUUAAUUUUAUUAU